rnacentral:rRNA from 1 species
UACGGAGGGUGCGAGCGUUGUCCGGAAUCAUUGGGCGUAAAGGGCGCGUAGGUGGCCCGGCAAGCGUGCGGUGAAAGCUCGGGGCUCAACCCCGAGUCGGCCGUGCGAACUGCUGGGCUGGAGCACUGUAGAGGCAGGCGGAAUUCCGGGUGUAGCGGUGGAAUGCGUAGAGAUCCGGAAGAACACCGGUGGCGAAGGCGGCCUGCUGGGCAGUUGCUGGACACUGAGGCGCGACAGCGUGGGGAGCAAACAGG